UACGGAGGGGGCUAGCGUUGUUCGGAAUUACUGGGCGUAAAGCGCACGUAGGCGGCUUUGUAAGUUAGAGGUGAAAGCCCAGGGCUUAACCCUGGAAUUGCCUUUAAGACUGCAUCGCUAGAAUCGUGGAGAGGUGAGUGGAAUUCCGAGUGUAGAGGUGAAAUUCGUAGAUAUUCGCAAGAACACCAGUGGCGAAGGCGGCUCACUGGCCCAUAACUGACGCUGAGGCGCGAAAGCUAGGGGAGCAAACAGG
rnacentral:rRNA from 1 species